rnacentral:rRNA from 1 species
AAACAUCUUUUCUUGUUAGUUUUUGAAGUAUGGCCUGCCCGCUGACAUUUGGUGUUGAAGGGCCGCGGUAUUUUGACCGUGCAAAGGUAGCAUAAUCAUUAGUUCUUUAAUUGUGAUCUGGAAUGAAUGGCUUGACGAGGCACGGGCUGUCUUAGUGUUGAAUGUUUUAUUGAAUUUGGUCUUUGAGUUAAAAUUCUUAGAUGUUUUUGUGGGACGAGAAGACCCUAUAGAGUUUGACAUUUGGUUUAUUUACUUGUUUGUUGUUUGUUUAUUUUUGGUGAGUGGGCUUUUUGUUUUGUUGGGGUGAUGGGAGGAAUGUACUUAACUCCUCUUAGUUUUGGUUAUAUUGAUUUAUAAUUGUUUGACCAUUUAUUUUGAUUAUAAGACUAAAUUACCUUA